rnacentral:rRNA from 1 species
CCGCGGUAAUUCCAGCUCCAAUAGCGUAUAUUAAAGUUGUUGCGGUUAAAAAGCUCGUAGUUGGAUCUCGGCGGGCAGGGGGUGGUUCGCUCUUCAGCGCUACUGCCCCGCUUUGCCCGUGUGAUUGGCGGAGGUUUCGGGGUGCUCUUCGUUGAGUGACUCGGAGCGCCGUCAGGUUUACUUUGAAAAAAUUAGAGUGCUCAAAGCAGGCUUUUCACGCUUGAAUAUUCGUGCAUGGAAUAAUGGAAUAGGAACUCGUUUCUAUUUUGUUGGUUUUCGGAAAUCGGGUUAAUGAUUAACAGGGACAAUUGGGGGCAUUAGUAUUCAGACGACAGAGGUGAAAUUCUUGGACCGUCUGAAGACUGACUACUGCGAAAGCAUUUGCCAAGAGUGUUUUCAUUAAUCAAGAACGAAAGUUAGAGGUUCGAAGGCGAUCAGAUACCGCCCUAGUUCUAACCAUAAACGAUGCCAGCUAGCGAUCUGCCGAGUUUUUUUUGUAGGCUCCGCAGGAAGCUUUCGGGAAACCAAAGCUUUUGGGUUCCGGGGGAAGUAUGGUUGCAAAGCUGAAACUUAAAGGAAUUGACGGAAGGGCACCACCAGGAGUGGAGCCUGCGGCUUAAUUUGACUCAACACGGGAAAUCUCACCAGGCCCGGACACUGGAAGGAUUGACAGAUUGAGAGCUCUUUCUCGAUUCGGUGGGUGGUGGUGCAUGGCCGUUCUUAGUUGGUGGAGUGAUUUGUCUGGUUAAUUCCGAUAACGAACGAGACUCUGUCCUGCUAAAUAGUUGGGUCGUCCUUCGUGCGAUCCAAGUUCUUCUUAGAGGGACUGGCUGCGUCUAGCAGCACGAGAUUGAGCAAUAACAGGUCUGUGAUGCC